AACGAACGCUGGCGGCAGGCCUAACACAUGCAAGUCGAGCGAAGCCCUCGGGCUUAGCGGCGGACGGGUGAGUAACGCGUGGGAACGUGCCCUUUGGUACGGGAUAGCCCCGGGAAACUGGGAGUAAUACCGUAUGUGGUCGAGAGACGAAAGAUUUAUCGCCAAAGGAUCGGCCCGCGUUGGAUUAGGUAGUUGGUGGGGUAAUGGCCUACCAAGCCGACGAUCCAUAGCUGGUUUGAGAGGAUGAUCAGCCACACUGGGACUGAGACACGGCCCAGACUCCUACGGGAGGCAGCAGUGGGGAAUCUUAGACAAUGGGGGAAACCCUGAUCUAGCCAUGCCGCGUGAUCGAUGAAGGCCUUAGGGUUGUAAAGAUCUUUCAGUGGGGAAGAUAAUGACUGUACCCACAGAAGAAGCCCCGGCUAACUCCGUGCCAGCCGCCGCGGUAAGAC
rnacentral:rRNA from 1 species